GUCAUAAAGUCAUUGGCUCAAAAAGAAAUAUGUCGGCGUGUUGAGAGGAACAAGUGAUAGUGUUGUUGUAAAAAGUAUUGGUUUUCCGUUAUUCAAAAUUAAUCAAACAAUUUUCUAUUAGACUUCUUUAAAUUGUUGAGAUGGCGCUUAAAAUGGCUGUACAUACAAGUAGUAUCAUCGGUAUCGGAAAGCCUGAUUAUGUGGUCGGAGGAAAAUAUCGUCUACUUCGUAAAAUCGGUAGUGGAUCUUUUGGUGACAUAUACCUUGGAAUAAAUAUUACGAAUGGAGAGGAAGUAGCAGUAAAACUUGAACCAAUUAGAGCAAGGCAUCCACAGCUUUUAUAUGAAAGUAAACUAUAUAAAAUUCUUCAUGGAGGCAUAGGAAUACCACAUAUCAGAUAUUAUGGACAAGAAAAAGAAUAUAAUGUCCUUGUCAUGGACCUGCUCGGUCCGUCGUUGGAAGACCUCUUCAAUUUUUGUACCCGCAGAUUCACCAUUAAAACCGUACUCAUGUUGGCAGAUCAAAUGAUCACUCGUAUAGAAUUUGUCCAUUGCAAAUCGUUCAUACAUCGUGAUAUAAAGCCGGACAAUUUCCUCAUGGGCAUCGGCCGUCAUUGCAACAAAUUAUUCUUGAUCGAUUUUGGACUGGCUAAGAAAUUUAGAGACACCAGAACUAGAAUGCAUAUAAUAUACCGUGAAGAUAAAAAUUUAACUGGUACUGCCCGGUACGCGUCCAUUAAUGCACAUCUUGGUAUUGAGCAGUCACGUAGAGAUGACAUGGAAUCUUUAGGAUAUGUAUUGAUGUAUUUCAAUAGAGGCUGUUUGCCAUGGCAGGGAUUGAAGGCGGCUACAAAGAAACAAAAAUAUGAGAAGAUCAGCGAGAAGAAAAUGUCCACGCCCGUAGAAGUUCUGUGCAAGGGCUUCCCCGCUGAAUUUUCCAUGUACCUGAACUAUUGCCGUGGACUUCGCUUCGAAGAAAACCCCGACUACAUGUAUUUGCGGCAAUUGUUCCGUAUUCUAUUCCGUACGCUGAACCACCAGUACGACUACACAUUCGAUUGGACUAUGUUGAAACAAAACGCCGCCUCCGGUACUGGCAGUUCUGUGGCAGGACAAGCUUCGACACAAGCCCAUCAAGCUCAAGCGUCCGUCACAGGUCCUCACUUAGGUAAGUAGCGAACCGAGAUAAAAAAGACGAUGAAAAGAACAAGCAGAAUUCUGCUAAAGGCAAUCGUUAACCCAACACUCGGCAUCGAUUGAGCUAAUCUGCAUAUUAUGGUUGGUUGACCUAUUUCAGUCUUUAAAAAAACAAAAAGACGUCUGACUCUUUUAUAUAAAAAUUAAAUUUUAUUAUAAGUGAGCAUAUACGAAUUAUUAUUUACAUUAUCUACACGUCGUUUUAACGGAUAUUGUAUAAAAUAUAAUAAAAUAACAAAAAAUAUACUGAAGAUGGCGACCGCUUACAAAACAGGUCGUAGUCUUGGAUAACGAAUGUGAGUCGAAUGCUGUGCGGGAGUGAAUGCAAGUCAGGCUGUAUUAUUUAAAUAUUCUUAGGUAGUAUAACAUGUAAUUCGGAUUCGAGAUAAUAAGUGAGUACGUAAAUGUCAGACCAGUCUGUUCUUUAAAAAAUGCAAAGAUUGGGACCAGUCUCCAGGAUAUUAUCAUCGGAAUAUUCAAAUAAUCUGCACGCAGGCUUUAUCAACAUUAAAUUUCAUUAUUAUAUACUGCUAUUAAACUUAGUCCAGUCCAGUCACUUGCACACCAUUUAUUCUUAAGCACCCACUAUACUACUCGCGAAGUUGAUCAAAGUUCAGCGAGCACGAGAGUGUAGAGAGGUACUUCAUGCGACUUCGCUUCGCCUCGGGCUACUUCCAUUCUGUGUCGGUUCUUGCGACCGAGUUAAAGGACUCCGAAGUUAGCUUCUCCUUGCGCGAAUGUGUUCCUCCGAAGUUGAACGAGUGUGUAGCGAUGCACUUCGGACAACAUUCUCUAGUACUUCGUCGAGUAACUUCGUGUGUAGACUCGCUUUAAGCAUGUCAUAUCACUAAUAUUAUCGAUUACUAGGUCUAGUUAGUUGUAUCUCCGCUAUGAGAUUCCACGAUCUCAGUGGUUUUAAUGUCUGACGUCCCACUUUUUGAUGUUUUUUCAUAUUCGCGACCCAUCCCUUUCCCAUGAUGAUAGAAUAAAAUAAAUUACACGGUCACUGUACUCUACUCAGCUACUGUAAGAACCACGCCGCGACCCACCGGUUGGGAAACUCUGCACUAUCUUAUAUAUUAUUCGAAAACACAGCUACGUUUUAUUCUCAAAAUUACUCAUUAUUUUUUCGAUAAAACUCUUUUGUCUAUUUGCUGAGUUUGUUACUAUGUGUAAUGUUUGUAUUCACCAAAAUAAUUACAACUUCCUAUGAAUUAAAGCUUCCACAUAAAUUAUUGUUAAGUUGCCUUCUCUCUCCUGAACCAAAAGCUGCCCUUCUAGUAGUCCUUGCCCUGUUAGUGAACUUAAUGAUCCAGUUGUUUGCAUACCACUUAUUCCUAAAAUGUAUCACUAAUAUCGAUUAUUAGGUCUAGUUAAUUGUAUCUCCGCUAUGAGAUUCCACUCUCUUAUAUAUUAUUCGAAAAGACGGCUACAUUUUAUUUUCAAAAUUACUCAAUUCAACUUUUUAGUCUACAUAUUUGCUGAGUUUGUUACUAUGUGUAAUCUUUGUAUUCACCAAAAUUACAACUUCCUAUGAACUAAAGCUUCCACGUAAAUUAUUGUUAAGUUGCCUCCUUUUACCUGAACCAAAAACUGCCCUUAUAGUAGUCGCUGCCCUGUUAUUGAACUUAAUGAUCCAGUUGUUUGCACAUCAUUUAUUCUUAAACAUGUCGUAUCACUAAUAUCAUCAUCGAUCAUUAGGUCUAGUUAGUUGUAUCUCCGUUAUGAGAUUCCACUAUCUUAUAUAUUAUCCGAAAACACAGUUACAUUUUAUUCUCAAAAUUAUUCGUUAUUUUUCAAUACAACUCAUUUAGUCUAUUUACUGAGUUUGUUAUUAUGAGUUAUAUUUGUAUUCACCAAAAAUUUCGACUUCUUAUGAAUUAAAGCUUCCACGUAAAUUAUUGUUACGUUGUCCCCUUUUUCCUGAACCAAAAGCUGCCCUUCUAGUAGUCGUUAAGCUUGUUGAUGUCGCAAUUAUGACAUUGUCUAUUAUUUGUAAAUGGUGGAGAAGAUGUUUAUUCAUAGACUUAUUUAAUCUCGUUUCCGCCCAGUGCUUGGUUUAAGUUAUGCCUUCAUGUAUACUAUCUAUAUCGAAAUAAUCUAUAGCGAAAUAUCUGUUCUGUAUAUAUUGAUACCCUUAAGUUUUAUUAUUAGCGUGCUUGAUAGUUUUGUUUAUUGCAAUUUUUUCAUGAAUUGUUGUCAAUUCUAGGAGUCUGGUAUAUAACACAGCGAUUAUACAUAUAGUCUGUCCGCUAUAAGUUUUCCCAUGCAGUACAACAUUUUCAAUCAAAUUAAGUCCAAACAGAAAGGGAAACAUACGCCGAUGUGUGUAGUAUAUAGUAUACAGUAUACAAAAUGUAUAUACACAUCGACGUUCGUUUCAAUUUAUGUUUUGACUUAAUUUGAUUGAAAAUGUACCGCAUGGGAAAACUUAUAGCGGACGGACUAUAUGUGCUACAUACUACUGUUUCAAAUAUGUUAUGAAAUUUGGUCAUUUUUCGAUAAAGUUUGCACAACGCUUUAUACAACAGAAUCCUGGAGACUGGUCUCGUAUUGAUUCUUCUAAGUACUGUACAUAUUUUCAGAUUUUUCGAUUUUUUUUUUCUAGACUGUAUAGUUCGAUUAGUUUAUAUGAACUCUGAAAUGAUACUAUAUAAUAAAAAUGUGGAAUAGUUAACUAGUAUUGUAACUAAAAUUUCUCGCAAUUAUCGAGGAAGCUAAAUAUCGUUUAUGUAUUUUUUUAGAACAAGCUUUGGAGAAUUCUGUCGAGAAGAUGUAUGCAUCUAAUAUCAAAAAUAGUGUAAUACCCAGUUGGAUUAAUAGUAAUUAAUAUUCGAUAGUGUAGUACUAGCCUAAAAGACAAGACGCAUAUUGAGAUACGAGUAAUGCUUCUAAGGAGACAUUUUGACGAAUAAAAUGGCAUUUAUCACCAAGAUAACUUGUUGGCCAUACCUAUUACAAUAGUUGCAGCUUUCUAGAGAAAAAGUUUCGUAUAUCAUAAAGUCAAAGAUACAGCAAAUCAAGGUUAUCAUUAUAAUGUAUACGGGGUUUACAAAUGUCACACCAAAAGUGCUACUUGCGUCUCAAUAAGCAGCUUGCCAAAGACUUGUUGCGUAUGGCUUGUUUUAUCGACUUAAUGAGUAAUGCCAAGUUAUAUCUGUUAUUAAAUACCAAAAAUAAGCAAGAAAACUAAUAAAAUCUUCAAUAAUAACAUUGUUUGAUGUUUAUUAUAUAAAUCUAAUGUUAUUAAACCAUCUGUUAACUUUAAUAAAGAGCUCCGUUAAUUUGACACAAUUGUAUUGUCGAUGUCUUCUUAAGUCUAACAACUCUGCCAUUUAUCAAUUAAUGUAUGAAUAUUUCGGGCAAACAAUAAUAUUAAUAAAAAUACAAUACACUGUAUCAAUAUUUAAAUACACAUUAUUUUCUUGAACCAUUAGUUUUUUUUCUUCUCUUUUUCCAGUGGUUUUACUAUCCUCCUAUUCCAUAUAUCUCUAAAAUUAAUUUGUGAGCCUGUUAGAGCCCACACAAGUACAGAUCGACCAUUGCAACGCAGCCGGCGAGAGAAACGUAUAUGCGCGAAGUUAACACAUGUAAAGUGAACACGCAACAUGAAGAGAGUUACUACAACUAGUUAAUCAUAUUAGACAGAGAGGCAGCGCUGAAAAAUCUCUUUGAAUUUACUAAAGCUAAAUUUUUCACAGUUGAUUACUGUGAUUGUGUAGAGAAACAUACUGCAGUCGGUCAAGCGAAACGUAGAACAGGGGUUACUGAGAGGGUAUCAAAGUUGCUUUCCUACGAAGGUAAUUAAAUCCAUUUACUAAGGCUGAAAAUCAGUAGAAACAUUCGAAAUUGAAUAUAAAUAAAAGUUAUUAUAGUCGGUCAGCUGUAUGACGGGACAGAGCCGGUCGGUCGGCCCCAAUGAAUGUAAGGGUUAUUCAAUAUAUUUUGACCCCCUUGUAAACUGCUUUAUUUACAGAAUUAGAAAAAAAUGUAAAAUACAAAAGUUAUUCGAUUUUUUAAUUAUGAUUUUUUGACAUCUAUCGUACUAGUGACGUUAUCCAUCUGGGCGUGAUGACGUAAUCAACUAUUUUUUUAAAUGAGAAUAGGGGUCGUGUGCUAGCUCAUUUGAAAGGUUAUUUAAUUCUCUAUACAGUACUAUAAACAUUAAGAUCAUUAUUUAUACAGGGUGUCCAAAAAAAUUGAAUUAUUAAACAAUUUAAUUUAAAAAAAAUUUUGGACACCCUGUAUAAUUAAUCAUGUUAAUGUUUAUAUUACUGAAUAUGGAAUUGAAUAACCUUUCAAAUGAGUUAGCACUCAACCCCUAUUCACAUUUAAAAAAAUAUACGAUUACGUCAUCACGCCCAAAUGGAUGAGGUCACUAGUACGAUAUAUAUGUCAAAAAAUCAUAAUUUAAAAAUCUAAUAACUUUGUAUUUUACAUUUUUUUCUAUUUCUGUAAAUAAAGCAGUUUACAAGGGGGUCAAAAUAUAGUGAAUAACCCUGUACCUUCACUGGGGCCGACCGACCGGCUCUGUCCCGUCAUACAGCUGACCGACUAUAAUAACUUUUAUUUAUAUUUAAUUUAGAAUGUGUGUACUGAUUUUCAGCCUUAGUAAAUGGAUUUAAUUCCCUUCGUAGGAAAGCAACUUUGAUACCCUCUCAGUAACACCUGUUCUAUGUUUCGCUUGACCGACCGCAGUAUGUUUCUCUACACAAUCACAGUAAUUAACUGUGAAAAAUCUAGCUUUAGUAAAUUCAAAGAGAUUUUUCAGCGCUGCCUCUUGGACUAUAUGGGUAUUCUUCCCUUUCAGGUCCAAUUUACACAAGGGACCUUCUUGUAGUGCCUAUCCGUUUCGAAUGUUGGCGACCGUCAUGGCAAUCUGUACUUUGCACACUGCUGCUCUGAAAAAAUUUGUGGUUCUUGUGUUGAACCACGUACCUAGAUUUUUCAGCCAGGAAAUCCUUUGCCUUUCUGGUCCUCGUUUUCCUGCUACUUUUCCCUGCAAGAUUAGUUGCAGCAGUCCAUUUCUUUCGCUGUUCCUAAUGGUGCGACCGGGGUAUUCGAUUUUGGCUGUUUUUAUUGUAGUUAACAGCUCUUUUUCUUAAUGUAUUGUUAAUAAAAUACCCUGAUUAGUAACGUGGUCGGUAUAAGAUAUCUUCAGAAUUCAACGAUAAAGCCAGAUUUCGAAAACCUCAAUUUUUUUGCAGGUGGAGUCUGUGAGAAUCCACAACUGAACUCAGUGCAACAGUAUAGGAAAGAUAUAACAUCGAAGUAACCUGAUUUUUCUGGUUUACUGUAAAGAGACCGAAAUCAUUAGACCGAAAGCAGUAGACCGAAAAGCACUUUACCGAAACCUCACUAGACCGAACAGCAGAAGACCGAAAAGCAGUUCUUUUUACUUGUCGCAGUAAAAGAGAUAAGACUCAUGUAAUUACAACUAAAUGUUAUUUGGAUGGUUAUUAUAAACAGUUAAAAUGGUGUUAACAUCACUCCACCCUUAAUUUAUUUUUACCUUAAUUUAUUUGUUUAACGGAUGAAAAUUAUUUUAUAUCAGACUGUACAGAGUAACAAUUUACAUAGUCUAUAUAUAAAAUAAUACAAAAAAAAUACAACAAACAAAAAGACAGAUAUACAAAAUCUUUAAAAAGCAUAAUUUACUGCAAACUUUUUAAAUUUAUUUACCAUUUCGGUCUAAUGCUGUUCGGUCUAUUGAGGCUUUGGUAAAGUGCUUUUCGGUCUACUGCUUUCGGUCUAAUUGUCGUGUACCGAUUUUUCUGGGAAUUGAUAAAUCAUGACAUUUGAAUAACUUAGCCAUUUUUUGAAAUGCAGAUCUUUCUUUCUCCAUCCUUUAUUUGAUUACAAGGGACCUCUUUUGGCUAAAUGAGUAGAUGUUUUGGCACUUAAUAGCAGUAUUUCUUAAGUUAAAUCAUCUUUAAUUUCAUAUAUAAAAAAAGUACAGCAAGUAUAGGUAAUUUUUUAAGUACAUUUUCAAGUUAAAUUAUCAAAUGAGACUAUCGAUAGCAGCUUAAUAGAUUUAAUUUUGUAAACUAUGUGAUUUUAUUUGAAAAUUUAAAAAUAACAAGUAAAAUAAUUCGUUUUAGUAUGUUUCUUAAUUAACGAAUAAUAUUUUUGAUGGCAGAUGCAUACAUGUUCGGAUCUCUGAAUGAAAAAGAGCUACAUUGUAAAACGAUUUACUAUCCUUAACGUAUCCAUGUUAAUUUUAUGAUGUAGCGGAUAUGUGGUGUUCUCGUAUUUGUUUAUUUAUCACGAACUGAUAAUCUUAAGAAUUGCCAAUUGUCUUGUUUUCGCAGUGUUCUGGCACCGUUUUUGUUUUAUAUUGUGGUGUCCAGACGGCUGCCGCAUUUGAACAGGACAAUGAUCAUCAUUUUCACAAUAAUAUUUAGAUCGCAGGGCAAUGGAUCAUAGAGUAAUAUCAGGUUUUUACUUCAAUUGAUUUGGAAUAGAAACAAAAAUGGCUUUUGUAGAAGCUUCAGAGUCAUUAACUUCUUUAUUUUUUGGGAAUAAGCCACAAUUAUAAUUAAAAAACUCCAAAAUUGCUCUUAUAAUACUGUUUCCAAAAAAUAUAGUAGUUAAUGAACAAAUUACACAAGAAAGUAGCUCCAGAACUACUUAAUCUGUUAGUUUCCCGCAAAAAUUCAUCGGGUCGGAGAUAUAUCAACGGAAUAUACUAUCAAAGAAUAAGCAGGGUGAUAAAACGUCAAUGUACAUUCACACAUACAUACACACACACACAGUAUAACCCAACCUGGGAGGCAAGUAGGACUAACGAAGAUUCGAACAUUUAUGACUUGUGGCAAAGAAGGGUAGUAUCUGCGCUUUCCCUGCCGAUUCAUCGUUUUCAGUUCUUUUUCCUGAUUGGUGUCUCUUGUGAAAUAUGUCCGCUACAAAGUUGGGUACUUCUGAUACUGCUUUUAGGCUGUGUUGAGCCGUUUGGAUCUUUUUUCUGUUUGUUUUACAGUUUUGGCCCUCGGGCUGCUGACGCAUAUGUUAGAUUAUCAUCACCAGCCCAUUUUAAGUCCACUGUAAGACAUAAGCCUCUGCUAUUUUUAUCCAGAGAUCCAUACUGCACAGUCUUAUGCAGUAUUGAUCCCAUGUUUCGUCAUCUUUCAUAGAUCAUCUUGCCAACGUGUAUAUGGUCUUCCUCUGUUUCGUUUGUCUGAUCUUGGCCUCAUUCAGUUCAUUUGCGUGUCCACCUUCCAUUCUUCAUCCUUGCCAGCCUAUCUCCAUUUCAAUUUGCAAGUUCUUUGUCCAAAAAAAAUCUGCAACUCUAGUUCUGUUCGGUAGGUCUUUGUUUAUGAUCUUAUCUUUUAUUGUUAUUUCUAUCAUUGGUGUGUUUAGUAGUAUUUAUUUUCGGCCAGAAUUUUUUGGUGAUCAAAAAACACACUUAUUAAUGAGUUGAAGUCAUUUUUUAUUGAUAUGAAGAUGAACCCUCAAGUAAUGACAAGUAAUAAAUUAAAUUUACACCAAGAAAAAAUCUUACUCUUUGAGUAGCUACAGAAAGCACUCGGAGAAAAAUAAAAUGGAAGUGUAAAAUAAUACUAAAGAACUUAUUAAAUUAGAAUCGGAUAUGGGAAAUUUAGAGGUAAUAAAUCAGAAUGUUACAUUGGUUGGUUUUUCAAUAACUAUGAUGCCUCGACCUCCCCACAAAAUUGUCAAUUAUACAAUAAGGUAAAGUAGUAUGCCCACAAAACAAUAAGGUAAAGUAGUACCACCCUAGAAACUCCCCUAGGCAAAGAAAUAAUAGACCUGUAUCUCCAAAAGGAUAUGAUAGUGAUGAAAGUGGCACCUCUUAUUCUUCAAGAGAAACACCACUGAUUGAAGAAUUUCUGCUUCAGAUUAAUCGGUAUGUUGCCGUCUUCAAAUACCUUUUUAAGAGCUCCAUAUGGAGCCCAUCGAUGUUCUAUUCUUCUUGAUGCCUCACCUGUUUGGGUAGUGUUGAUAUAAUAAUGCUGUUUAUCAGUUUUUCUUUGGUUUUAACUGAUAGUUUCUUUCUUAUAAUUAAUCAUCUGCAUUUGGCUUGAAUGUUUCUUUUUCAUAGUGGUAGUUAGUAAUGUCAAACCCUGUCUAGCGUUACUCCUAGAUAUUUAGCUUCGUUGGUUCAUUCAAUUUAGGAAUCGAAAAUUAACUGGAGAUUUCUCUUCUAAGAACCGUGUGAUCCAAGUUGAAUAUUUUCCGUGUAAUUUCUGAUUUUCUUUUUGCCUUACCUACGGUGCAAAAUUGCUCACAAGCAAUCACGUUACUCAUGUGCAAUAGUUGUAAUACUCACUCUUGUUCCUCUUAAGGUCUACAUAUUAUAUCAUCGGUUAUCAGCUUGAUAAUAUGUAGGCAGUACUUUAGAUACCAUGACCAGUCAUCAGCCGAAGGGACUAUCUUAAAUUAUGUCUUUGAAGAAAAGAUUGUGUGUCGAGUUUAAAUCGGGGAAACCCCUUGAUUAUUUUCCAAAGAUAUCGCAAGGGAUCAUUGUAAUGUAUUUGUUGUGUACAACGUAAAAGUCACAACAAAUAGAGUUCUUUAAUCGGGUCUUACAAUGACUUUCGCGUAAAUAUUAUGUUUGUAAAAAAAAUGUAAAUUGUUACGAGUUUAAGAUGAUACUCUAUGAGAAAUUGCCCUGCACAUUAGAAACCAGUACGGAUGCAAAAUUCCUUCAGAUUUUCGCCGUUUUAUAGGUUGUAGCCAAACAAGCAUGAAAGUUAAAAAUAGAAUUUGUAUUUUUGUGAUAAUUUCUUAUCUAUUUUGUGUUUGUUUGGUUACCGUUAAACUAGAGAAAACUUGUAUAUCUGUACUGGUUCCCGAAUUAUUUCUAGAUCAAAAAUGUUUGAUUAUCUUACGUUUUGUGCACACGAUUUUCUACGUUUGUGCAGAUUAAGUUCACAUUUUCGUGUUAUCCAGCAAAAUUGUUCCAUGUCGUAUUUAUUGAUUUUAUGCUCUUUAUUCCUCCAAUAAAAAUAGUCUUUACAUUUGAAGUAUGCGUUAAAUCAAUUUCUUAUUCAAUGUUACUAAAAUAGGAUGCGAUUCAAGAACAAGAAAAGUUAUUGGGAGAAAGAAUAAUUCAAGGAGUCAAUACUACAAAACUAUACUACGUCCAUUCACAAGAUAAGCCCACACGCUAGUCUCAGACACGUGAUCCGUGGGUGUGGCGUGUCGUCACAGCUUUUCAUUGGCUAGAAAUUCAUUUCGAACCAAUGACAGAAGCUGUGAGGACACGACACACCCACCGAUCAGGCGUCUGGGCUUAUCUUGAUAAUGAACGUCAUAUAUAUAAAAUCCCCAGUACACAACGCACCUGAGCCCGCAUUUUUCCGAACCAAAUGAUAUAGAAACACAGUUUACACACAAUAGACAAGUAAUUGUUGCUUUAAUGGGGAAAAUGUCCACAACAACUAACAUUUGCUAUUAUCUUCUAGAAAAACGAAUAACUUUCACGUACAUUUUAUAUUAUAAUGAGGCCACGUUUUAAAAUCACAAACAUUAAGUGAUAGUGAAGUGAAUGUCGACUCGAUUCUAGUUUUCUGUUAACCCAGAUAUGAAAAUAUCAAAAGGCACCGCUAGGAAAAUAUUCCAAAAAUGCGGUUCAGAGAACCUAUAUGAAACGAGUCUUUGUACUCUCAUACAGAGUAUGGCAUUAGUAAAAAUUUUUUACUAAAAGUCGUUGGGACUUAGGUCGGGGCUAUACGGUGGAUGGUUUAACAAUUAUAUCUUUUGAAGCUCCAAAAACUAUUGUCUUUUGGGCAGUCUGAGCACUUGCAUUGUCGUGUGGGAUGAUUCGCCGUUGUGUGUUGCUUUUUCGGAGUUUCGCGAUAACUUCUGGUAAACAAACGGUUAUCUUCCAAUCAGAAGUAACCGUUCUUCGAUCAUCUAAAGCAAUUGUUGCCACAUGACUAGAUUUUGACACAAACGUUGCGACCAUUUUCUUUGAGACACUUCGAGAACGGAUCACUUUUGUUUGUUUUCCUCAUCGUGAAACACCCACACAGCGGAUUGGCGUUUAUUUUCCGGUUGGUAGGAGUAAAUCUAAGAUUCAUGGCCACUAACAAUACCAUAAACGUUUUUUAAGCUUCCUUUGUUGAACCGUUCCAAUGAUUUUCGACACCAAUUGACGCGAAGCGUUUUUUGCUCUUCUGUAAGCAAAUGAUGGAUCCAACGGCAAACCAACUUUCUAACACCCAGUUCUUCAUGUGGGAUCUUUUGGAUCGAGGUCUUUGAAAUGCCCAAAGAUGCGUCUAUCUCCCGGUAUGUUACACGGCGGUCAUCCAUGAUUAGCCGACGAACCGCAUCAAUGUUUUAGGUGGACGUGGCCUGGAUUCGUCGCUGAGACUGGAGCGACCACGUUGAAAUUCGCAAUACCAGCGUGAAAUAGUUGAAUGGUAUGGGUAUGAUGCUUCAUUCCCAAACACAGAAACCAUUUCAGCGUGACAUUGCUGUUGGGAUAAUCCUCUCCGAAAAUUGUAAAAAAUUAUUGCUCGAAAAUGUUCUCCGCCACGAUCCAUUUUUUGACCGACUUGCUAAUUUCAAAAAUUCACUGUAUCUACACGACUUGUUGUACGGCAAUGAAACUCUCGAUUUAUGUCAACAAAAGAUUGAGGUUACGUUUGUGUCGGAAGGUUUUAUUGGUGGCGCCCUCUAAGCGGCUAUAUGCAAAACUAAAAAUAUGCAGUUAGUUGAGAUAUUGGUAGACUGGUGUAGUAAAAUCACAAAUUACUCAAUUUCUUAUUGCCAAUGCUUGUAGCUGCUGUUAUUAAUUGAAUAUAUUGAUUUAGCAUAGCGAUUUGAUAAAGGUUAGUUAUUUUUUGUUGGAGUGAGACUGACGCAACUAGAAAAAAUAUUGUUGAUCUUGAGAUAAUCGUUCUAAUCGUUGAAUGUAAACCAUCUAUCAUAACUCUCUAUUAAUUUUUAAUAUAAUUUGUAAAUGUAAAGUUGUGAAAAAAUAAUUCUGUAGCUGCAACAUUCAGUAACUGCCAUGGUAAAUAUUUAACUUUCGAAAUUCAGUGUAAAAUAAAUGUGUGUAAUAAUACUACUACUACUAUUACAACAAUUUGCAAGUUUAGUUUUUAUCAUUGUUAAUUAUGUAUUAUCAGUUUCUCAUUAUUUUUUAGUAGCUUUUUAAAAUAGUUAUUUCAGGCGUUGGCCGGAUAAUUUAAGUUGAUAACAAAAGUUCAGUUCCGCAUUUGUAAUUUCUAAUGUUACAGUGGGGAAUCGCAGGAAUAAAAUAAUAAAAAAUGCA